CCUUACCAAGCCAAGGCAGUUAGUGUGUCUUCGAAAUCACAGCUCACAGGAACCAUUAGGAACAGCCUUCAGCAAUAACUGCUUGGACCCUGUGCGGAGCUUUGAGCACAGCCACAAGUUAUCUGCUCUCUUCUUCUGUGCUGCUUCAAAUUGAUUUAAGUUCCUGGAGAAAUUGUGGAAUGUGAUCGAGUAAAUUUCAAAGCAAUUUCCAGGCACCACUUUUGGAGCCUGUCACCAACUGCAAAUAUGAAAGAACGCCUCCUCACCAUCUUGCACAGCCGUAAAAAUCUGUGCGAUUCAUUUGUACGGGAAGCUGUGGGAGUGGCACUAACUUACUAAGGGUUGAGGGCAGAAGAAUUGAGGCUUCUACUUCUUGCCUGUAGAUAACAAGCCUGGCCCCAACCAAGGACUGUGGUUCUGUGGGGGAAUUUUCCCUCCCAGCAGCAUCGAGUUCCUGUAGCCUCUGGGGGGAGACUGCUUCUGCAGCUCCUUCCAUACUGACACUGCAGGCAGCAGCUGAACCAGCUCUAGCCUGGAGCCUAUAGGGGAUCAGUCACAGAAGCGUACUGAGUUUUCCAAUUUCCCAUCCCAGGCUAGGUGCCUCCCUCAUUAUCAGACCAAGGGCUCUGAGGACCCGUGCUGAAUUCUUUACAAUUUAUUGAGUUUCCUGUGACCAAAUGUAGUAGUGACCCUGCUUUACUGAGGUGAAGGAUAGCUGAUGCUAACUAUUCAUGUGCAGAACUUUCAGUGGAAGCCUGUGGGAGUUAAAAUUUCAUGGGGAUAGAGAGUUCUCUUGCUUAAUGUAACGUUUGGCAGCACUGACUGCUUUAAUUUUGACAUAAAUGAGACCAGGUGGUUGGAAUGCAAACUGCAGAGGUGUUCUGCUUACAAGCAAAGCAGUUGGUGUUUUUGCUAUUUAAAAAAAUUAAACAGGCAGUAGAAAUAAAGUAAGCUGGAUUGU